rnacentral:RNase_P_RNA from 1 species
CGAGAUGGCUAGACAAUCGCCGCUUUAUCGUUGUAUCUCAACCUUCGGGUUUUGGUAGACGGAUGAAGGGGAGGAAAGUCCGGGCUCCAUAGGGCAGAGUGCCAGAUAACGUCUGGGGGGCGCGAGCCUACGACCAGUGCAACAGAGAGCAAACCGCCGAUGACUGCUUAGGCAGAACAGGUAAGGGUGAAAGGGUGCGGUAAGAGCGCACCGCGCGGCUAGUAAUAGUUCGUGGCACGGUAAACUCCACUCGGAGCAAUUUCAAAUAGGGUUCCACUACUCUUAGAAGUUAAUGCGCGGCCCGCGUUGGAACCGGGUAGAAAGCUUGAGCCUUAGAGCAAUCUAAGGCCUAGACGAAUGAUUGUUCACGACAGAACCCGGCUUAUCGGCCAUCUCGCACC